UUUUUCCUAACUCACGGUCCUGAUGAUAUUUUCCGCUGCAAUGUUUUCAAAAUAAUCACCGGUACCACUGGACUGCUCGCCGCUCCCGAUUCCGUCCAGGAUGGGGUCUGGGGCCGUGACAACUAUAUCACCGCAAAGAGGCGGUAUAUAACAGUCAACCCUUCAAUAGUUGGCAUGGAGUCUUGAUACUUGUUUUCCUUGUACUGAAAUCUUUACAUUGGUCCACUAAUUCCCUGAAAUACAUGUAAGUUUGAAAACAUCAACAAAAGUUGAGCGAGUUCAUGCAGUUUAGCUGUAUAAGAUGUAUCUGUAUCAAAACAGUAUUAUGAAAAGUGUCAAUGAAAUCGUGAUCGUUAAUGUUUUGCAAGGACAUUAAUAUGUGUGGCGAAAAUAGGAAACAAUCCAACCCUAGACGAUUUUAAUUGUAUCGACACCUGUCGUAGGGACACAAACGCACUCCUACGCAAAUGAAUGGCCAUGAGUGGGGCUCGCCAAAACCCAUUAGAUCUAACUCUUUGUUCCUUGGUCCAAACUGGAUUAAUGGUGCUUUAGUUAUGGCCCUAAUUUCGCACAUGAUCUAAGGUGUUUCAUUCCUUGACUUAUCAUACUAUUGUACAUGUAUUUUCCCCGAUAGUUGUAAAGCUUGAAAAGCAUUUAAGAUGAAAAGGGGACAUGAACUCACAGAAUUGCAUCCGUAAAUUGUAUGUAAUUGUAACCUCACUUGCAGUUGUCUUGAAUUGUAUCACGACCUACAAAGGUCCUAGAUUUGUUAGACACUUCGGUCUUUGUAUUGGCUCAUGUACAAGUCUUCUAUCUUGAAUAUGUAAUAAGACUUAUUUGUAUUUG
rnacentral:lncRNA from 1 species